rfam:Canis lupus familiaris chromosome 22, whole genome shotgun sequence.
CGGGGGAGGCCGGAUCCUGGGCUGUGUCCCGGCGCCCUGUGCUCCGGGGCCUGCGCUGGUGGAUUCGCGCUCCUGGAACCGCGCAGCCCCCU